rnacentral:tRNA from 1 species
GAGGGCAUAGCUCAGUGGUAGAGCGUGCGCCUAGUAAGCAUGAGGUCCUGGGUUCAAACCCCAGUACCUGCA